UAGAUCAGAGAAGCAGGCUGGCAUCCUUCGGGGUUCAGCCUUGCUGAUUAUUCCCCGUGUCUUUUGCGUACUUCUUGUUUCCUUGGUGGGUUCGCCCACCAUAGGACAAACCAUAAACCUUUUGUAAUUGCAAUCAGCGUCAGUAAAAAAUUAAUAAUUACAACUUUUAACAACGGAUCUCUUGGUUCUGGCAUCGAUGAAGAACGCAGCGAAAUGCGAUAAGUAGUGUGAAUUGCAGAAUUCAGUGAAUCAUCGAAUCUUUGAACGCACAUUGCGCCCUUUGGUAUUCCAAAAAACAUGCCUGUUCGAGCGUCAUUUGUACCCUCAAGCUUUGCUUGGUGUUGGGCGUCUUGUCUCCAGUUCGCUGGAGACUCGCCUUAAAGUAAUUGUAUGCAGCCGGCCUACUGGUUUCGGAGCGCAGCACAAGUCGCGCUCUCUUCCAGCCAAGGAUACAAAAAAAUCUCUUCAAACUAUUUAGGGAUACCCGCUGAACUUAAGCAUAUCAAUAANCGGAGGAA
rnacentral:rRNA from 1 species